rnacentral:rRNA from 1 species
CCUACGGGGGGCAGCAGUGGGGAAUAUUGGACAAUGGGGGGAACCCUGAUCCAGCCAUGCCGCGUGUGUGAAGAAGGCCCUCGGGUUGUAAAGCACUUUCAGUGAGGAAGAACGCCUGGUGGUUAAUACCCAUCAGGAAAGACAUCACUCACAGAAGAAGCACCGGCUAACUCCGUGCCAGCAGCCGCGGUAAUACGGAGGGUGCGAGCGUUAAUCGGAAUUACUGGGCGUAAAGCGCGCGUAGGUGGCGUGAUAAGCCGGUUGUGAAAGCCCCGGGCUCAACCUGGGAACGGCAUCCGGAACUGUCAAGCUAGAGUGCAGGAGAGGAAGGUAGAAUUCCCGGUGUAGCGGUGAAAUGCGUAGAGAUCGGGAGGAAUACCAGUGGCGAAGGCGGCCUUCUGGACUGACACUGACACUGAGGUGCGAAAGCGUGGGUAGAAAACAGGAUUAGAUACCCUAGUAGUC